CCCUUUUUGUGUGAGGUGAGAACAGUUAAGAUCUACUCUCUCUUAACACUUUCAAGUAUAUAAUAGAAUGUUGUAUAACUAG